GAUGAACGCUGGCGGCGUGCCUAAUACAUGCAAGUCGAGCGAAUGGAUUAAGAGCUUGCCCUUAUGAAGUUAGCGGCGGACGGGUGAGUAACACGUGGGUAACCUGCCCAUAAGACUGGUAUAACUCCGGGAAACCGGGGCUAAUACCGGAUAAUAUUUUGAACUGCAUGGUUCAAAAUUGAAAGGCGGCUUCGGCUGUCACUUAUGGAUGGACCCGCGUCGCAUUAGCUAGUUGGUGAGGUAACGGCUCACCAAGGCAACGAUGCGUAGCCGACCUGAGAGGGUGAUCGGCCACACUGGGACUGAGACACGGCCCAGACUCCUACGGGAGGCAGCAGUAGGGAAUCUUCCGCAAUGGACGAAAGUCUGACGGAGCAACGCCGCGUGAGUGAUGAAGGCUUUCGGGUCGUAAAACUCUGUUGUUAGGGAAGAACAAGUGCUAGUUGAAUAAGCUGGCACCUUGACGGUACCUAACCAGAAAGCCACGGCUAACUACGUGCCAGCAGCCGCGGUAA
rnacentral:rRNA from 1 species